UGGGGAAUAUUGGACAAUGGGCGCAAGCCUGAUCCAGCCAUGCCGCGUGAGUGAUGAAUGCCCUAGGGUUGUAAAGCUCUUUCACCGGUGAAGAUAAUGACGGUAACCGGAGAAGAAGCCCCGGCUAACUUCGUGCCAGCAGCCGCGGUAAUACGAAGGGGGCUAGCGUUGUUCGGAUUUACUGGGCGUAAAGCGCACGUAGGCGGACUUUUAAGUCAGCGGUGAAAUCCCGGGGCUCAACCCCGGAACUGCCUUUGAUACUGGAAGUAUUGAGUAUAGUAGAAGUGAGUGGAAUUCCGAGUGUAGAGGUGAAAUUCGUAGAUAUUCGGAGGAACACCAGUGGAGAAGGCGGCUCACUGGACCAUUACUGACGCUGAGGUGCGCAAGCGAGGGGAGCAAACAGG
rnacentral:rRNA from 1 species